rnacentral:rRNA from 1 species
AACGAACGCUGGCGGCAUGCCUAACACAUGCAAGUCGAACGAAGUCUUCGGACUUAGUGGCGCACGGGUGCGUAACGCGUGGGAAUCUGCCCUUGGGUGCGGAAUAACUUCUCGAAAGGGAUGCUAAUACCGCAUAAUGUCGUAAGACCAAAGAUUUAUCGCCCAAGGAUGAGCCCGCGUAAGAUUAGCUAGUUGGUGGGGUAAAAGCCUACCAAGGCGACGAUCUUUAGCUGGUCUGAGAGGAUGAUCAGCCACACUGGGACUGAGACACGGCCCAGACUCCUACGGGAGGCAGCAGUGGGGAAUAUUGGACAAUGGGCGAAAGCCUGAUCCAGCAAUGCCGCGUGAGUGAUGAAGGCCCUAGGGUUGUAAAGACUCUUUUACCAGGGAUGAUAAUGACAGUACCUGGAGAAUAAGCCCCGGCUAACUUCGUGCCAGCAGCCGC